GGGCUCACUCUGGCAGCACAUAUGCUAGAACUGGAACAAUACAGGGAGGAUUAGCAUGGCCCCCAUGCAAGGAUAACGCAAAUUCAUGAAGCAGUCCAUAUUUUU
rnacentral:snRNA from 1 species